ensembl:snoRNA
UUGGUCCUGAAUCAAGGCCAACAAUUUGUUGAAGCUGUUGGUUUCAAGCAGGUACCUAAAGAAAUGCCUUUCUACAGUCUGUUGGCCAUUUCAGAAAUUUGGAAAUGUAAAGGUCAAUUCAUUAGAAAAAAGCAUGU